CAAAGAAUCGCUGUUUGCUCUAGAAUGUGAAAGUAAUCAUUGAUCAAAGCACGGCUGCAAGUCUGAACUCCAAACAGGUGCACCUGAAUUUCUACUGAAGGAUCCAAUCUGGGUCAGUCACCAGGACCCAAGCAGGCCUAUUGGCUAUCUAUGGACCUAGUAAAAGAACAUUAUAUUUGUGGUUUUGAAUGUGCUUUAAAAAAAAUCUUUACACAGAGUUCAGAUGGGAUGAAACUGUCUUAAUAGUGAUUAUCUCAAAAGGGACGUCAUUUCCUUAACAAUGGCCCAUUAGCUACAAGCUUUAUUGAAAGGGGUAUAUGUUGAAUUAUUGGUUCAUUAAUUAUAAAAUUAAGAUUUUUGGUUUACUGAAGGUAUUUGCUGUCAUAUGUCAUUUCUUGCAAGAAUUAUGAAUUCCAAGAAUUACUGAUGGUACUAAAACUUACAAGGCCCUAUGUAAGUAAAUGUCUAGUGCAGGUUUUGUAAGAUCAUACGUUGUAAUUUGUAAGUUUAUAAAGUGGGGGUGGUGAUGCAAAUUGAUAUUGGUCAAGAAACUGACAAUUCUGGUUCCAGUGAAGAAUUAUUUUAGUGUUUACUCUGAUCAAGUGUCACUGAAUUCAUUGAGCUUAUUCAAAAAUAAAUAUGAAUAAAUGUGCCUAUGAAUGCCUAUGAAUAUACAUGCAGAAAUCAUCCUGCAAAUCUGAUACAAAUCUGAUACAAACGAGGAAGCAAAUUUCAUAGAAUUCAGUACGAAAGGUGUAAAAAAAAGUUUAAGGGUGAAGUAUAAUAUGUGCAUAUAAUUAGUCAAAAAUGUCAUUCUUGUUUUAGUUGACUGUAAAUUCUGGUACAUAUGCUAAUAUUUUGUCCUUUUGUGCCAUCUUGUGGCUAAUAUAAACAAUGCACAUUUCAAUUUAGAAUGCACAAAAUUCUAUCAGAGGAAUGGAUGGAAUUUAUAAUUUUUAAAACACAAAUAUUUUAAAUUAGACUGCAAAGCAAGGAAGUAUGAACAUGACUUUUGAACCUUAAAGCUGAAUCAGAUUGAAAGCUCACCCAAUUCACAGUCUGUUUUGUGGUGAUCGCUAGGUGCCUCUUAACACUUAAGAGAAUCUUACAUACAGAAAUAGAACAACAAUGUAUUUCCUUGAUUGUUUUACUAACUGGAAUUCAAAAAGGACCCUCCAGUUGUUCUGGAGAUAAUUUAUACUAGCUAGUGGAACUGGUAUAUUACAAGAAUUUGGCUAAACGUCUUUGCAAGCAGCAGGUCAUCUGGUAGUUGGAGGAGUCCUUGGGGCAGGUAGGUCUGGUCCUGCACUAGGCCUCCCAGGAUCUACCCAACCCUGCUUAAAGACCUGCAUGGUCAUUUAACAAGCACAUAAGUGAGAACAGAGGUGGGAUUAAGUGAGAUGAACAUGUCGCUUCACUUAAUGACCUUCAUGAAGGGGAGCCUCCAUUAUGGUCAUGAGCCAAGGUCUACCUGUACUGAAUUGUUCAUUCUUUUUAUCCAAAAUAUUCUUAAAAUGUUCACCCUUCAUAAUUCAAAUGCAUCAUUUUGAGACAUCGUUGCCAUUGUUAUUGCUUUUUAAAUAAUAUUUUAUUGAAAUUUUAAAUACAAUAAUACAAGAUGAUACAAAUUAAAACUAAAGCUAGAUUAAAUAAAAGGUGAAAAAAAGAUUAAAUAGAAAAUACAAAAGAAAAAAUUCUAAGAAGCCAACUUCCCAUCCUCCUCAUAACAAAUAAAAACAAUUUCACUAUCUUUUCAACUUCCUCUUAGUUAACAAAUAUGUAGAGCUCUUCACCCUAUAACACAAGUCUUAGCUAUAGGCAAUUCCAGUAAAUGACUUCUUUUCCAAUCCAGACGUAAGCAAAAGAGGUCCAGAGCUCUAAAAUAAACACAUACAUUUAGCAAAUACAAACUUCACCAUUCUUUGUGUUGCUUCCUGUUCAUCAUACAAUUUCUUUUGUAGUCAAAUGUUUUUAAAAGCUGUUUAUCAUUUAAUGUGGUUUGGGGUCAAAUUUAUUUAUUAUUAAUAAAGCAAAAUAAAUAUC